rnacentral:lncRNA from 1 species
UUUAAAGUCUGGCCCAAGCAAUGCUGCUGUAAGUCCACCCCACAUUCUGCAGAACCCCCUCCUUUUGUGAGGCACCUGGCAAGAGGCUGCUUGUCAGUGGCUGUUAGCAACUCCAGGAUUUGUUGAACAGCUUGGGGGGAAAAAGAACAUUUUCCACUGCAGUUUUUUUUUUUUUCCACUGCAGUUUUAAGUACCAGAAGUACCACUAUGUUCCCAUGCUUAUCUUUCCCAUCUCCAAGGUCAUUUGGGAAAAAUGCAACACACUCACCAGUAAAGGCAAGAAGGCCCAGAAGUAGCCACAGCACAGACAUAUUGAUGACUUGGCACUACAGAUCCUAAAAUGAUUUUAAGAUAGAAAUUAGCUCAAAGACGUGAAGAUAUCAAUUGUUGUCAUAACAUUAUGUAGUGUUUCUAUGGAAAAGUGUGAAAAGAAUGAAUGUGUGUCCCCCUGUCUGAACUAAGAAAAUUAAUUAUUUGAAUCAUAAUGAAAUAAGCCAGAGCGGGACAUGUGCUCCAUCCAUCCUUUUAAUUAGCUUAAAAAUGACGAGACUCCUGCUCAGCCCACAGGGACUCAACAUACUGUCGAGUUACCAAAUACAGGUUCUUUCAAGAAACCAAGAUACUUUGAUUCUCAGCCCUGAGAAAUAUGGUGAUCUGACUGCAGAUCUUGAAAAGCCAGUUUCUGAUGCAUGUGCCUUAUCCCAAUAGCCUCUUCGUUAUCAAAAGGAAAGAGCAAGAAGAAGGGACAAUAAGACAUCAACAUAGCAUAUGGAAGGAACCCAAACUCUGUGACCCAACUUUCCAGGUGCCAAAAAGGAGUCUAUGUUCAGAAGGGAGUGUUGAGGUGUCACUGGAGUGUGUGGGGGGAGACUCCAUCGGUCACCCAGGACUGAUCCGGUCAAACCCCUGUGGCUCCAGACACUUGGAACCAUUAUCAGAACGUCAGGUCUAGCACACACCAAUGACAACUCAGGUUUACUAGAGUGUGUGAAAACUCGGGAAGGCCCUGGCCCCAUCUGCAGAAACACCACGUCACCAGGGCCAACCAAACCCAGCGCCGAGGAUGCACAUCAGCACCCUGGAAGUUUCUCCCCUGCUUGGCAGCCAGCAUGUUGCCUGGCAACAGCUCCACGGAAAUGAUGCACACCAGUGCCCUCAGGCUCAUUCAGUCCUCAGCCACUCUGUAUGGACAACCUCCCUUUCAAAGACCUGGCGGACACUCAGUGGGGAAGCUGGGGCGGAGUGGGGG